rnacentral:rRNA from 1 species
AGAGUUUGAUCCUGGCUCAGGAUGAACGCUAGCUACAGGCUUAACACAUGCAAGUCGAGGGGCAGCAUGGUCUUAGCUUGCUAAGACUGAUGGCGACCGGCGCACGGGUGAGUAACACGUAUCCAACCUGCCGUNUACUCUUGGACAGCCUUCUGAAAGGAAGAUUAAUACAAGAUGGCAUCAUGAGUCCGCAUGUUCACAUGAUUAAAGGUAUUCCGGUAGACGAGUGGGGAUGCGUUCCAUUAGAUAGUAGGCGGGGUAACGGCCCACCUAGUCUUCGAUGGAUAGGGGUUCUGAGAGGAAGGUCCCCCACAUUGGAACUGAGACACGGUCCAAACUCCUACGGGAGGCAGCA